rnacentral:rRNA from 1 species
UACGAAGGGGGCUAGCGUUGUCCGGAUUUACUGGGCGUAAAGCGCGUGUAGGCGGGCUGGAAAGUUGGGGGUGAAAUCCCGAGGCUCAACCUCGGAACUGCCUCCAAAACUUCCAGCCUGGACCCAAGUAGAGGCAAGUGGAAUACCGAGUGUAGAGGUGAAAUUCGUAGAUAUUCGGUGGAACACCAGUGGCGAAGGCGACUUGCUGGACUUGUGGUGACGCUGAGACGCGAAAGCGUGGGGAGCGAACAGG